GUUUUAAUAGUUUAAUAAAAACAUUAGUCUUGUAAACUAAUAAUAAGAUUUUAUCUUUUAAAACU
rnacentral:tRNA from 1 species